UACAGAGGGUGCGAGCGUUGUCCGGAAUCACUGGGCGUAAAGGGCGCGUAGGCGGCCUGGCAAGCGGUGGUGAAAGCUCAGAGCUCAACUCUGAGUCGGCCAUCGAUACUGCUAUGGCUCGAGUCGACUAGAGGCAGAUGGAAUUCCGGGUGUAGCGGUGGAAUGCGUAGAUAUGCGGAGGAACACCGAUGGCGAAGGCAAUCCCCUGGGCCUGCACUGACGCUCAUGCACAAAGCGUGGGGAGCAAACAGG
rnacentral:rRNA from 1 species